rnacentral:tRNA from 1 species
GUCCACGUAGCUCAGUUGGCAGAGCAUUGGACUAGUAUCCCAAAGGUCUCGGGUUCGAUUCCCACCGUGGCCA